rnacentral:rRNA from 1 species
GGGAACUACGAGCCAAGCUUAAAACCCAAAGGACUUGACGGUACCCCAUAUCCCCCUAGAGGAGCCUGUCCUGUAAUCGAUAACCCCCGUUUAACCUCACCAUUUCUAGCAACUCAGCCUGUAUACCUCCGUCGUCAGCUUACCACGUGAGCGCUAGUAAGCUCAAUGUUUUUUCAACUAAACGUCAGGUCAAGGUGCAACACAUGAAAUGGGAAGAGAUGGGCUACACUUUCUAACAUAGACCACACGGAAGACUAACUAUGAAAUCUAGUCAGAAGG